CCUUGUGCUCCGUCCUUCGGAUGAGACGUCAAACAAACGAGCUCCUAUUGGAAGUGACUCUGCAGCAGCAGCAGCAGCAGCAGUUGUUGAUGAUGCAGAGUUCACCCCCCCCCCUAGUCUCUGUAAGUCGCUUUGGAUAAAAGCAAUCUGCUGAAUCACUAAUUAUUAUUAUUAUUAUUAUUAUUAUUGUUAACUGCACAAUAGCAAACUUUGACAAAACUAUUGGCUAGCUCUUUGAUCAAAACAGCUGUUUUGCGACUUCUUUAACCCAACGGCAGAUCAAACAGCGACCCGUUCUGUGGCUGUGCAACUGAUUUUAAACAAGCCUGCGUGAAAGAGGACGCACGUUAAUUCUGAUUUGAUUUCUUUGUGUUUUUUUUUUUUGGCGGGAGGGUUAGUAUUUGUAAAACAAAUUUAUAAAAUACAUGUUCAAUUCUACAGUACAUCAUCCCAGCUUGGAUAUCUUGAAUCUGAGCUUCUGUAAGAUUUUAAAAUAAACCUCAAACUACUGCCUCUAGCGAAGGCUGGCAAACUCCUAAAGCAAAUCUCAGAAAAAAGUCCAGAUUUUUGUUUCAACCAGACCCUUAAUAAUACUUGAAGACCCUCUCUGUCGAUUUUUAGUUGGUCUUUAUAAUGGGUGUUAAUUGAUGUUUUAAAAUACAGUAAAAAUCUCCAUCCUCUGCUUGCCGAGUUGAACCCGAAGCCUCUUUUUCAGGAGCUUGAAAGCUGGUUCCAGGAGACCCCCGGGAGACCUAGUUUGAGGUUUGCUGUAUCAAACCCCCCCCAAGUCUCCCUGCCUGGUGUGCCGCACAGCGGCCUGAAACCUACAGUCUCCUGAAACCCGAAGCUCCAAGCCGCACAGAUCCCUCGGCUUAAUAAUAAAGAAAAACACUGUCCCAUAAAACAGCCCCAGUUUUCUUUUCUGAACGUCUGGACGUAGUUUUAUUAAAACACAGCACAAUGCUGUCCCAGUCACCUUUUGAAGGAGGACAAGAACUUCAGAGGUUUGGAAAAAGCCCUGAAACACGCUUUUAUCUUUUCUUGGCUGCUGGAAAAUAGGCUAUAGAGAAAUGUUUGAAAGAAACCGCUAAGCUGUGUGGGUGUUUAGGGUUGGUUUGUAAAGUGGAGUAAAAUGGAUUUGUGUGUUUUGUUGUUAAAGGGUUUAGGGUGGAGAGAACGAGUCUUUAAGCCUGUGUUUUUUUGUUGUUUUUUUUUUAAAUUUUGUUGCACGUUGUAUUAUCUCCUGCUCCUGACAUUGCUGAGAAAUACAAAAAUAUUAAAAAAAAAAACACUGUCUGUAAAUAAAUACAGAGUUAAAAACAGAUGUAGAGUUUACAGAGAAAGCCAAGCACGAAGGAUUUCUUUAAAGGGUUCGGUGGUUUCAUUCAAUGAGAGUGACUCUUAUAUAUAUAGACCCUAAAUGAGGGGUCACCACCCCUGGUCCGGGAGAGCCCCUAUACCAGCAGGUUUUAUAGCUGUCAUUACAUCAUCAGUGGCUAAAGAUCUGGAAGAUCUGGACUAAUUAAGCCAGUAAUUGGUUCAAUUAAGUAACAGAGAUUGGUUGAAAUGAAAACCAGCAGCCCCAGUUGGAGAGUCCUGCCCUGGAUCCACUCCAGGAGGUUUAGCAGGUAAAACGAGAUCAUGAAGGACUUCAGGGUCCGGACUGAGGUUUAUUGAAUUGGUUUAGAACAGGGUUUGGAACAACAGGCCAGCCCUGCCUUCGGUAGCCCAAUUUGAAGAAGCAGACCCCGCUCUGAAAAGGAAUCCUUGCGCUGUGUAAAUGUAUUAUUGCUUGUGAAAUGAAAGUGGACGCUAGAUAGGAAAGAUUGCGUCACAGCCCGAUUCUCAGACCCGCCCCCUGGCUGCAUUACCUCAUCGUUUAGAAUGCGCGGAGGGACGUUGAGUUCCAUGCGUUCUAAACGAUGGGAUAGUGCAGUCCCGCUUGUCAACACCAGGGGGCAAUGAAUGCUAGAGAAUUGAAGGGACUGUCAGUUUAGCUCUUGAAAUGAUAUGGGACGUUUUGUAAAGAGUGGAAAUUGAAUGUGUUUGUUUUCGGGGAUGGUUUUUGUACAGUAUCUUGAGAUAUUAUUAUGCUUCUGAUCCCAGCCACGUUUGUAAAUAGAAAUAUACUCUUUUGAUUAUA